rfam:Myotis brandtii contig292363, whole genome shotgun sequence.
GGCGGUUCUUCGGUGAUGCACCACGGAAUCGGGCUCCCUUCUCUCUGGUUCCAGGUGCGUCACCGGAGAACCGCA